AGGACGAACGCUGGCGGCGUGCUUAACACAUGCAAGUCGAACGGAAAGGCCCUUCGGGGUACUCGAGUGGCGAACGGGUGAGUAACACGUGGGUGAUCUGCCCUGCACUUUGGGAUAAGCCUGGGAAACUGGGUCUAAUACCGAAUACACCUCGCUGGCUGCAUGGUUGGUGGGGGAAAGCUUUUGCGGUGUGGGAUGGGCCCGCGGCCUAUCAGCUUGUUGGUGAGGUUACGGCUCACCAAGGCGACGACGGGUAGCCGGCCUGAGAGGGCGACCGGGCCACGACUGGGACUGAGACACGGCCCAGACUCCUACGGGAGGCAGCAGUGGGGAAUAUUGCACAAUGGGGGGAAUCCUGAUGCAGCGACGCCGCGUGCGGGAUGAAGGCCUUCGGGUUGUAAACCGCUUUCAGCAGGGACGAAAUUGACGGUACCUGCAGAAGAAGCACCGGCUAACUACGUGCCAGCAGCCGC
rnacentral:rRNA from 1 species